rnacentral:rRNA from 1 species
AACUCGCCUGCAUGAAGUUGGAAUUGCUAGUAAUCGUGGAUCAGCAUGCCACGGUGAAUACGUUCCCGGGCCUUGUACACACCGCCCGUCACACCAUGAGAGUCGGGAACACCCGAAGUCCGUAGUCUAACCGCAAGGAGGACGCGGCCGAAGGUAGGAUUGGCGACUGGGGUGAAGUCGUAACAAGGUACC